UACGUAGGGUGCAAGCGUUAAUCGGAAUUACUGGGCGUAAAGCGUGCGCAGGCGGCUUUGCAAGACAGAUGUGAAAUCCCCGGGCUCAACCUGGGAACUGCAUUUGUGACUGCAAGGCUGGAGUACGGCAGAGGGGGAUGGAAUUCCGCGUGUAGCAGUGAAAUGCGUAGAUAUGCGGAGGAACACCGAUGGCGAAGGCAAUCCCCUGGGCCUGUACUGACGCUCAUGCACGAAAGCGUGGGAGCAAACAGG
rnacentral:rRNA from 1 species